AGUGAACGCUGGCGGUAGGCCUAACACAUGCCAGUCGAACGGCAGCACAGUAAGAGCUUGCUCUUACGGGUGGCGAGUGGCGGACGGGUGCGGAAUACAUCGGAAUCUACUUUUUCGUGGGGGAUAACGUAGGGAAACUUACGCUAAUACCGCAUACGACCUACGGGUGAAAGCAGGGGAUCUUCGGACCUUGCGCGAUUGUAUGUGCCGAUGUCGGAUUAGCUAGUUGGCGGGGUAAAGGCCCACCAAGGCGAAGAUCCGUAGCUGGUCUGAGAGGAUGAUCAGCCACACUGGAACUGAGACACGGUCCAGACUCCUACGGGAGGCAGCAGUGGGGAAUAUUGGACAAUGGGCGCAAGCCUGAUCCAGCCAUGCCGCGUGGGUGAAGAAGGCCUUCGGGUUGUAAAGCCCUUUUGGUGGGAAAGAAAAGCAGCAGGUUAAUACCCCGCUGUUCUGACGGUACCCAAAGAAUAAGCACCGGCUAACUUCGUG
rnacentral:rRNA from 1 species